AAAAAUUUAGUUUAAAAAAAAUAUUAGAUUGUAAAUCUAAAGAUUCUAAUUUUUG
rnacentral:tRNA from 1 species